rnacentral:rRNA from 1 species
UACGAAGGGGGCUAGCGUUGUUCGGAAUUACUGGGCGUAAAGCGCGCGUAGGCGGUGAUCUUUGUCAGAGGUGAAAUCCCGGGGCUCAACUCCGGAAUUGCCUUUGAAACGGGAUCGCUUGAGUCCGAGAGAGGAUGGCGGAAUUCCUAGUGUAGAGGUGAAAUUCGUAGAUAUUAGGAAGAACACCGGUGGCGAAGGCG